rnacentral:rRNA from 1 species
UACGGGGGGGGUAAGCGUUGUUCGGAAUUACUGGGCGUAAAGGGCUCGUAGGCGGCCAACUAAGUCAUACGUGAAAUCCCUCAGCUUAACUGGGGAACUGCGUCUGAUACUGGACGGCUUGAAUUCGGGAGAGGGAUGCGGAAUUCCAGGUGUAGCGGUGAAAUGCGUAGAUAUCUGGAGGAACACCGGUGGCGAAGGCGGCAUCCUGGACCGACAUUGACGCUGAGGAGCGAAAGCCAGGGGAGCAAACGGG